GGAGCUUGUCCUGGCCGCGGUGUGCGCCACUGCCAUCCCGGAGCCACUUUAGACUGCAUUACAUGCCAAUCUUUGCCAUGCUGAGGUGAUUCGUGGUUGUUCUCAGAGACGUUCCCAGUGGAAAAUUCACUACACACAUGCUGUAAAUGACACCUCACCCUAUUGAAGAGGUUCCCUGACAUUGCAAUCAGCACAUGAAGGGCCUGAGCCAUCCUGUUUCAACUCCGGUUGUGAACUCCCUACCAGGUUUAGGAUAGGGUCCUUUGAUGGGGCGUGCAUACCCCGCACUAGACAGGAAAGAGUUAAUCCUACACUAUGGGUGGUGGAACUCCUGCCCCUUAGACCAGAUGGGGCAUGUUCCAAAUGCUGCACUAGUAUAAAGCAGAGAAGCCCAGCUCAUUCUUGGCUGACUGCUAGGGAGGAAGGACACUUGGUGGAGGCUCCAGCCCAGGAGCCGCUUCAGUCCCCGAUUGCAGGAACCAGAGACCCUGAGGCCCAGAUUGGAGACCAGUUGCCCAAAGCCAGUUGAUGGGAGUCAGAGUCCCAACCAGCUACCCGUACAAAGGAGCUCGGAAAUCCUGACGAUGAAUGGACCCCGGCUUCAGGACUCAUGGUAGGAAGUGGCCCAGGGGGAUGCAGUGAGUGGUACCUCUCACCCGAAGACAGUCAGCAUGUUGCGAUAGGAUCCCUGCUGACUGGGUAGUGACCUCACUCACCACUGACAGGACCCUGGACCAGGAUGUUGUGGAGAGGGAGGGGCUGGGUCCCCCUACCAACCCUCCUGCCACCCAUCCCAGGUGGCUGCCCACUUCUUCGGCUCUGGCCAUUGGGCCUCAGAGUCCUGACCCCAAGAGUAGCUGUGUUGAAACUGACCACUGUGCCUUAUCGUGGUGAGGUCUGAAACAGUUGGAUAGACAGUGACUAUGUCAGUGCCCCGAUCACCCACUGCAACAGAGGAUGGGGCGUGCAUACACCACUACAGGUCCAUUUCUGAAAUGCACCAAGACAAUUUGAGACUGGUUCUCUGAAAGAAAUUCCAUGAUUUCUGAGCUCACUAUAUGCCAUUUCCACUGUACAUAGAGUUUGUUUGCUCUACUCAUAAAUAUAUGCUUUGUAUUUCUAUA